rnacentral:rRNA from 1 species
GGUAGUUUAACUGGGGCGGUUGCCUCCUAAAGAGUAACGGAGGCGCCCAAAGGUUCCCUCAGCCUGGUUGGCAAUCAGGUGUUGAGUGUAAGUGCACAAGGGAGCUUGACUGUGAGACCGACGGGUCGAGCAGGGACGAACGUCGGGACUAGUGAUCCGGCAGUGGCUUGUGGAAGCGCUGUCGCUCAACGGAUAAAAGGUACCCCGGGGUUAACAGGCAGAUCUGCCCCUAGCGUCCAUAUCGACGGGAUGGUUUGGCCCCUCGAUGUCGGCUCUUCGCAUCCUGGGGCUGGAGUCGGUCCCAAUGGUUGGGCUGUUCGCCCAUUAAAGCGGUACGCGAG